rnacentral:tRNA from 1 species
GGUAGCGUGGCCGAGCGGUCGAAGGCGCUGGAUUAAGGCUCCAGUCUCCUCGGAGGCGUGGGUUUAAAUCCCAACACUGCUACAG